AUUGAACGCUGGCGGCAGGCCUAACACAUGCAAGUCGAGCGAGCGGCGGACGGGUGAGUAAUGUCUGGGAAACUGCCUGAUGGAGGGGGAUCACUACUGGAAACGGCAGCUAAUACCGCAUACCAUCAGAUGUGCCCAGGUGGGAUUAGCUAGUAGGUGGGGUAACGGCUCACCUAGGCGACGAUCCCUAGCUGGUCUGAGAGGAUGACCAGCCACACUGGGACUGAGACACGGUCCAGACUCCUACGGGAGGCAGCAGUAGGGAAUCUUGGACAAUGGGCGCAAGCCUGAUGCAGCCAUGCCGCGUGAGUGAAGAAGGCCUUCGGGUUGUAAAACACUGUCAGCGGGGAGGCGUUACCCGAAGAAGAAGCACCGGCUAACUCCGUGCCAGCAGCCGCGGUAAUUC
rnacentral:rRNA from 1 species